UACUUUUGAUAUCCAAGAUUUGUUUGGAGUGUGCAUGAGAGUGAUGGAGUUGCUACACUGUUACUGUUGAUACUCACUUUUUAUUUUAUUUUUGGUUGUCUUUAUAAAAAAGCUUCUAGAAGCAUUCUGCUUUUUAUAAAAAGUUUGCUAAAAAAAAAAAAAAAAAAAAAAAAAAAAGUUUGCUGUGACAAAAGAAAGAGCACCACCGUAAAUGAACUUAACCUGAUGCUGUACGUUAGUUUCCCACUUGUUACAAUAUAUGGAAUCGC
rnacentral:lncRNA from 1 species